ensembl:lncRNA
CCCCAGUACUCUAAGGUUGGAAGAUGUCACUUUACUUUGCUCCCCUUCAUGAGCUGGCUUAUCAUCUUUACAGUGUAAGAAAGAACAAGACUGAAGAGCUGAUUAAUCCAUCCAUCUCCUCUGGCUUAUCAGCCUGGGAAUGAAAACUACAGAUAUGGACUUGAUGUCAGGAAAAACAAAAACAAAACUCCCUAAUGAUCAGAACUUCCUCAAAGUGAAAUGGGCUGCCUCAAGGGGUCCCUGUCCUUGGGAGGUCUUCUAGAGGUCUGGAUGACCAUUUAUCUAAUAUGUUAUAGUACAUAAAAUUCCUUUUUUUGGAAUGGGUUGAACUGAGUGGCCAGUGAGCUCCUUCCCAACUCCAAAAUUCUGUGUUUCUGUAAUCUAGGGAAUAGUAAAGGCGUGUUAAAGACUCAUUCAUCACAUGGAUAUCAUAAAUUCAAUUCCUGGACUAUACUGAGUCUCAGCAUGAGACCUCUGGAACACAGCUGAGUCUUUUUUUUUGUUUCUUUUCUGAGUUCCAUGAGACAGGAUUGCUGGCUGUCUCUUGACUCACACUCUGCUGGAGGGAAAUGCCUCCCCCUAAGUUGGCAUUAGUAAGAUGCAGCUGAGGGGAAAGGCCUCGGGCCACUCACUCUUAAAUGCACUAGGCUCGUGAGGCUCCCCAGCUUUUUCUCCUCGAGCACAUCCUGAGCUCAUCUGUAGCCUCCUAACACUCCUCUCUUUUCACACCUUUAAUGUGUUGCAGAGCCUAGCCCACAGGGCAGAUACUCUGAGAGAUUCUCCUAACAGACAAUGACUGGACCCAAAGCUGGAAGCUGCCCAUAGGAGGGAGGUGAAAAGCCUAGAAGAGCCUGGAUCAUGGAAGCAUUAGAGAGCCAAUUGUUAAAUAUUUACCGCCUGCCCAAACUCCUCAGAAUUACCCUAAGACUCUUGUGGAAUGAAGUAAGCAGCUGCCCUUUAGGCCCCAACCUGCCAACGCAAGUAGGGGUUGGAAGAGUGAACCUGCACUACAUCCAUAUGAAGAAACUCAGGCUCAGAGAAUUAAAUAAUUUGUUUAGAGUCACAUGAGUGAUUAUUAUAGUUAAAAUAUGAAUCCAAGUCUCCUGAAUCCAAAUCUAGUAUUCCGAAAUGAGCAACCACAGAGAGAAUGCCAAAGAUGCUGUCUAGUAAGACUGGCUAUAUUUCUUGAGACACAUUCUUUAAAAACGCCUAACCUUUGCAUGCCAGGAAGAAUGAUGACCUGGAGAAUGCGAGAAGUAUGUAUAGGGUAAUUCUUUUCUCCUUCUAAGAAAGUAGCAAGAUGAUGCAGUGGAAAAAGCACUGGACCUGGAGGCAGGAAAACCAGGGUUCAAAUCUGGCCUCAGGAACUCAUUCGCUGUAUGACCCUGGGCAAGUCACUUAACCUCUGUCUGUUUCAGUUUCCUCAUCUAUAAAAUGGGGAUAACAAUACCUUACAGGGCAGAGGAACAAAUGAAAUAGGUGUAAAUUGCUUAGCAUAGUGCCUGCCACAUAGUAGGUGCUUAAUAAAUGCUUAUUUCCUUCCUUUCCUUCCCCUCUU